ensembl:misc_RNA Metazoa_SRP Metazoan signal recognition particle RNA
GCCAGGCGCGGUGGUACGUGCCUGUAGUCCCAGCUACUCAGGAGGCUGAGGCUGGAGGAUCGCUUGAGCCCAGGAGUUCUGGGCUGUAGUGAGCUAUGCCGAUCGGGUGUCCGCACUAAGUUCAGCACCAAUAUGGUGACCUCCCAGGAGCAGGGGACCACCAGGUUGCCUAAGGAGGGGUGAACCGACCCAGAUCGGACACGGAGCAGGUCAAAACUCCCGUGCUGAUCAGUAGUGGGAUCCCGCCUGUGAAUAGCCUGGGCAACAUAGCGAGACACCAUCUCUU